rnacentral:misc_RNA from 1 species
GACGAGUUCAUGUUGAGAGAACUGGUCAAAAGGUGGACGAACCAUAAAGUCAUGGUGAGGUGGCUUUCUCGCUUCUUCCACUAUCUUGACCGAUACUUCAUUGCUCGAAGAUCACUUCCACCUCUCAACGAAGUUGGCCUCACAUGCUUCCGUGAAUUGGUGUACAAAGAGCUAAACAGUAAAGUGAGGGAUGCAGUAAUUUCAUUGAUUGAUCAAGAACGUGAAGGAGAGCAGAUUGACAGAGCUCUACUGAAGAAUGUAUUAGAUAUAUUUGUGGAAAUUGGGAUGGGGCAAAUGGAUUACUAUGAAAAUGACUUUGAAGCUGCCAUGCUUAAAGAUACUGCUGCUUAUUACUCUAGGAAGGCUUCCAAUUGGAUCCUAGAAGAUUCUUGUCCCGAUUAUAUGCUAAAAGCAGAGGAGUGCUUGAAACGAGAAAAGGAUAGAGUUUCUCACUAUUUGCACUCUAGUAGCGAGCCAAAGUUAUUAGAGAAAGUUCAACAUGAACUGUUAUCUGUGUAUGCUACUCAACUGCU